GGAGAGUUGGCUGAGUGGUCGAAAGCAUCUGACUUGAAAUCAGACGAACCAGCGAUGGUUCCCAGGGUUCGAAUCCCUGACUCUCCU
rnacentral:tRNA from 1 species